rnacentral:rRNA from 1 species
AGAAUGAACGCUGGCGGCAUGCCUAACACAUGCAAGUCGAACGAAGCCUUCGGGUUUAGUGGCGCACGGGUGCGUAACGCGUGGGAAUCUACCCCUUGGUUCGGAAUAACAGUUGGAAACGACUGCUAAUACCGGAUGAUGACGUAAGUCCAAAGAUUUAUCGCCGAGGGAUGAGCCCGCGUAGGAUUAGGUAGUUGGUGUGGUAAAGGCGCACCAAGCCGACGAUCCUUAGCUGGUCUGAGAGGAUGAUCAGCCACACUGGGACUGAGACACGGCCCAGACUCCUACGGGAGGCAGCAGUGGGAAUAUUGGACAAUGGGCGAAAGCCUGAUCCAGCAAUGCCGCGUGAGUGAUGAAGGCCUUAGGGUUGUAAAGCUCUUUACCCGGGAUGAUAUGACAGUACCGGGAGAAUAAGCUCCGGCUAACUCCGUGCCAGCAGCCGC